UACAGAGGUCUCAAGCGUUGUUCGGAUUCAUUGGGCGUAAAGGGCGCGUAGGCGGCGGGGUAAGUCGGGUGUGAAAUCUCAGAGCUCAACUCUGAAACUGCACUCGAUACUGCUCUGCUUGAGGACUGGAGAGGAGACUGGAAUUCACGGUGUAGCAGUGAAAUGCGUAGAUAUCGAGAGGAACACCAGUGGCGAAGGCGAGUCCCUGGACAACCCCUGACACUGAGGCACGAAAGCUAGGGGAGCAAACGGG
rnacentral:rRNA from 1 species